AACGCACAUUGCGCCCUUUGGUAUUCCGAGGGGCAUGCCCGUUCGAGCGUCAUUGCACCCAUCAAGCCCGGCUUGGUGUUGGGUCACGGGGGCGACCCGGACCUCAAUGUCUGCGGCUGGAACACCCCGUCCCUCAGCGUUGUGGAAACGAAUUCGCUCUGCGGAGGGUGUGGUCCAUCGCCGGUAAACCAUCUUAUUCAAAGGUUGACCUCGGAUCGGGCAGGGAUACCCGCUGAACUUAA
rnacentral:misc_RNA from 1 species